CGGGCCGUGGCCUAGUGGUUUAGGGCACACGCAUGGGGUGCGUGGGAUCGCUGGUUCGAAUCCAGUCGGCCCGA
rnacentral:tRNA from 2 species